ACGGAAGGCAGCCUUGCUGCAUAUUGGUCAAUGGACGGAAGUCUGAACCAGCCAAGUAGCGUGCAGGAUGACGGCCCUAUGGGUUGUAAACUGCUUUUAACCGGGAAUAAAGAUGUUCACGUGUGGACAGUUGCAUGUACCGGUUGAAUAAGGAUCGGCUAACUCCGUGCCAGCAGCCGCGGUAAUACGGAGGAUACGAGCGUUAUCCGGAUUUAUUGGGUUUAAAGGGAGCGUAGGCGGUAGAUCAAGUCCGCUGUGAAAGAUAGGUGCUCAACAUCUGGACUGCAGGUGAAACUGGUUUCCUUGAGUGCGUAAGAGGCAGGCGGAAUUCGUCGUGUAGCGGUGAAAUGCUUAGAUAUGACGAAGAACUCCGAUUGCGAAGGCAGCUUGCUGGGCCGCAACUGACGCUGAAGCUCGAAGGUGCGGGUAUCGAACAGGAUUAGAUACCCUGGUA
rnacentral:rRNA from 1 species